rnacentral:lncRNA from 1 species
CCAAAUUAAAAAAUACUCAAAACCCAAUCACUAACCCAAACCCAGAUCAAUAUCAGAUAGCCCAAACAAUUAAAACCCAACAAGCCCAUUACAUCAAACCCUAGCCCACUAGCUUAAAAUUUUUUCUCAGCAGCAACCCUAGGGCUAGUCCCUAUUACGACCGCCACUCCCACCUUUGGCCUCCCCACGCAUGCUCAGCCACCUUGCGCGCCAACCACCGGCCUUCCACGCCUCUAACACCUGCAGAGAGAAAUUAAUACAACAAUGUAGCGACCUAAAAAUUUCGGCACGGGCGCUAGUCGAAGUAAUUAUUAAAAAUUUGAAAACUGAAUCUCGAUUUUAUUUGAAAAAGGAGUCGCCACCGAUCUUUUUUUUCUAGGUGUGAUCGGACACCUAAUAAAUUCUCUUUUUAGAAGAAAAUUUUAUUUUUAAAUUUUCUAAAAAAGAGGUAAUUUUAGGUCUACGUAAGAAUCCAGAGAAAAUUCGAGUUCGGGAGUCGGUUACGCGCGAGGAAGGUAUUAGCACCCUCGCGACGCCCAAAAUUGGUAUCUUGUUAAACGCACGUUGUCUUCAUUUUCAAAAAUACGAGUUCAAUUUAAUAUUAGUCGUGAUCCGAUUGAAACACGAUAAUUUUAAAGCACAGCAACUUUUUCCUUUUUUUUUAAACACAAAUUUUUUAAAAUACAAGAAUUUUAGAAACACAAAUUUUUAAAAAAACACGAAAAUUUUGAAACACGAGAUUUCUUUGAAACACGAAAAUUUAUGAAACACGGUCAAUUUCUUAAAACGCGAAAGUUUUUGGAAAACGGGAAUUUUUUUUUGAAACACGAAAAAUUUUGAAACACUGGAAUUUUGAAAACACGAGGAUUUUUUAAAUACGAAAAAUUUGAAAACAAGAAAAUUUUUGAAAUACGAAAAUUUUAGAAACACGAAAAUUUUUGAAACACAGAAGUUUUUAGAAAACACGAAAAAUUUUGAAAAUUGGAAUUUUUUUGAAAACACGAGAAUUUUUGAAAAACAUGAAAAUUUUUGCAACACGGGAAUUUUUGAAAACACGAAAAAUUUUCCAAUUUUUAUUAAGCACGUAUCGUAUUUAACACUAAUUGAUGAUAUUCACUCAACAUAGCAAUGAAAUAAACGAAUUAGUGUCAAAUCGAUUUGUUACCUUAUUUUUGAAAAACACGAGAAAUUUUUUUUGAAGACACGAAAAUUUCGAAACCCGCGGAUUUUUUUUUAAAAAUACAAUUUUUUUGAAUAUUUUUUUAUUUUUAAAAGGGCGUAUUGAGUUUAACGCAAACCGGUGAUAUUCACCCAACAUAGCGAUGAAAUCAACGAUUUUAUGUUAAAUCGAUUCGUUGCCUUAUUUAUUAAAAUUAUUUAAAAUAAAAUAAAAUAAAAAUUAAAUUAAAUUAAAAAUAUAAAUAUAAAAAUGCAUAAAAUGCUAAUAAUAUUAAAACGAAAUAACAUAAAAAUACGAGCAUUAAAUUAAAAAUAAAAUAAACGAAAUUACCGAAAAGCUACCGAAACACGAGCUUCGUCGAACGGGUUACACGAAUUGAACCUCUUUUUUCUUUUUUUCCUUCUUUUUUCCUUCUCUUUUUCUUCUUUUUCUUUUCUUUUUUUUCUCUGCUGGGCCAACCCGUUGGACCUGCUUCUGCUGGGCUGGUGCGUGCGGGCCUGGCCUGCUAGGCUGCGCUGGGCCUGGGCUUGGGCUGCUGCUGGUCUGCUAAGAAAUGGCCUGCUCUUCUUUUUUUUUCUUGGGCUUGUUUCUUUUUUUUUUGUUUUUGUUUUUGUUGUUUUUUUCUUGGGCUGCUGGGUCGGGUCGGGUCGUCAGUCGGGUCGACCGGUUCGGGUCGGGUCAACCUGAUUUAAAAAAAGGAUUUUUCUUUUUUUUCUUUCUUCUUCCUCUUUUCUUCUUCCUUCUUCUUCUUCAAAGUCUAGCCUCCACCGUUGCUUGCUCCGCCGUCGACUGCUACCGCCGACGCCACGGUGCCGCCGCCGACUCCUCCUUCUUCUCCUUCCUCUUUUCUUUCUAUCUUCUUUUCUUUUUUUCGAAGCUUUUUCUCUCUCUUUUUGCAAGUUUUUUUGAUUUUUUUCGUGGGUGUGGGGGUUUGAUUUUGGGGUUUUAAACCCAUUUUAUAGUUGAUAUUUGCUUCCUUUUUGCAGGUGGUAGGUGAAGAAGGAGCAGCCACCCAUGUUUGUGGCCUGAAAAUCUGAGAAGUGGGUGCCCCAAAUCACGUAACCUGUCUGAAGGACCAAAUCACAAAUGUAGCAAAACUUCUGGGGCUAAAUGUAAUUUUUAGAAAAUUUAGGAUUAAAAUGAAAUUUAAUGAAAGUUUAGGGGUCUAAGUGAAAUUUAAAGAAAGUUUAAGGGUCAAAAUGAAAUUUAGGAAAAUUUUAGGGGUCAAAAUGCAAUUUUUAUUUUUUUAAUUUUUUUUGAAAUUUUGAAAAUUAAACACAAAUUCUAGUCGGACAAAAAUUUAGUGCUUACAACUGCCCCUCUUUGCUCAUCAUUGUGAAACAAGGAUAGUGCAAAGACUUAAAAGCACUAAAUUUUGUUCAAUUGUCCAAUCUUUAUUCUUUACUCGGCAUGUGAUCCUGAGCUCAACUCAUUUCUCGCAAUAUGAAUUGACUCUUUAAAACUAGACAUUAAAAAUAGAAAUUUAAAAUAGCUCAGCACGUGAGCCAAGGCUCAACUCACUUCUCGCAAUAUGAGUUGAUUUUUGAAAACAGAAUUUGCAAAAGGCUCAAUUCACCUCUCGCAAUAUGAGUUGAUUUUUUGAAAAAUAGAAAAAGGCUCAACUCACCUCUCGCAAUAUGAGUUGGUUUUUGAAAAAUAGAAAUUAAAAGGCUCAACUCACCUCUCGUAAUAUGAGUUGAUUUUUGAAAAACAGAAAUUGAAAAGUAGAAAUUGAAAAUACCUCAGCGUGCCCUGAGGCUCAACUCACCUCUUGCAAUAUGAGUUGAUUUUUUUUUUUGAAACACAGAAAUUAAAAAAAAACAGAAAUUAAAAACAGAAUUUGAAAAGACCUCAGCGUGUGGCCUGAGACUCAACUCACCUCUUGCAAUAUGAGUUGAUUUGAAAAGUAGAAUUAGUAAAGCAGAAAUUGAAAAUACCUCAGCGUGCCUUGAGGCUCAACUCACCUCUCGCAAUAUAAGUUGAUUUUUGAAAAGCAUAGAUUGAAAAAAACAUAAAUUGAAAAUACCUCAGCAUGUGAGCCGAGGCUCAACUCACCUCUUGCAAUAUGAGUUGAUUUUUGAAAAACAAAAAUUAAAAGGCUUAACUCACCUCUCGCAAUAUGAGUCAAUUUAAAACAUAAACUAAAAAUACCUCGGCGUGUCCCGAGGCUCAACUCAUUUCUCGCAAUAUGAGUUGAUUUUUGAAAAACAAAAAUUAAAAGGCUUAACUCACCUCUCGCAAUAUGAGUCAAUUUAAAACAUAAACUAAAAAUACCUCGGCGUGCCCCGAGGCUCAACUCACUUCUCGCAAUAUGAGUUGAUUUUUUUUAAAAAAAUUUAAAAAUACCUCAACGUGUCUUGAGGCUCAACUCAUUUCUCGCAAUAUAAGUUGAUUUUGAAAAUUAAAAGGCUUAACUCACCUCUCGCAAUAUGAGUCAACAUAAACUAAAAAUACCUCGGCGUGCCCCGAGGCUCAACUCACUUCUCGCAAUAUGAGUUGAUUUUUUUAAAAAAAUUUAAAAAUACCUCAACAUGUCUUGAGGCUCAACUCAUUUCUCGCAAUAUGAGUUGAUUUUGAAAAACAAAAAUUAAAAGGCUUAACUCACCUCUCGCAAUAUGAGUCAAUUUAAAACAUAAACUAAAAAUACCUCGGCGUGCCCCGAGGCUCAACUCACUUCUCGCAAUAUGAGUUGAUUUUUUAAAAAAAUUUAAAAAUAUCUCAACGUGUCUUGAGGCUCAGCUCAUUUCUCGCAAUAUGAGUUGAUUUUGAAAAACAAAAAAUUAAAAGGCUUAACUCACCUCUCGCAAUAUGAGUCAAUUUAAAACAUAAACUAAAAAUACCUCGGCGUGCCCCGAGGCUCAACUCACUUCUCGCAAUAUGAGUUGAUUUUUUUAAAAAAUUUAAAAAUACCUCAACGUGUCUUGAGGCUCAACUCAUUUCUCGCAAUAUGAGUUGAUUUUCCUUGGAAAGCAUGAAUAUUAAACAUCAAAAUACCAAAACCAGUCCUUUGGUAGAACUCGGGUAUCUUUUCCUUUGAUUCAGUGCGACUCUCAUUCAAGAUUUCUUGCUUUACUGGAUUACCUGUAUAUGCCAUGCAUGAUGUCAUCAUGAUAUGCACAUGUUUAUCUUAAAUGCCUUUAUGCCUACAUGAUUAUGCAGUGCUCCUUAAGCAUAUUGGUCGUAUGUCAUUUUCGCCAUGAUUGUUGAGGAUCUGCGUUCAUUGCUUUGAUUCUCGACCUUCUCUUCAAGCCUCAUACCUGUCUUCGAGCUUUACGAGUAAUCGACGUUUCUCAGAUAUCACCCUUUUUGCCCUUGGUUAAACUUUGUUCUUGCUUUGAAGAUCUUGCACUUAUCAAAUUCUUAUCCGGGUAAUGCUUGACAUUUCUUUUGUUUAGAGUAUGUCAUUUCACUAUUUAUCAUUAAAUAAACACAUAAUGAGAUGCAUGAAAAUGGUCAGGUAGGGACAAAAAGGAUAUCUCAUAUUCCUUUAUUUCAAGUGUGGCAAACAAAGAAAGUUAACCAAUGAGAGUAAAAAUGUCAAAAAGAAAGAAAAGGUCGUAUUCAACGGAUACAAAUGCUCUAGAUAUUCAACACAUGAACUCUUCCACGUUCCUCAAUCAAUAAUCUUUUCGAGCAUGGCUUCUUGCGUAGAAAAUUUCGAGCUUUCAGAAGUGCUUCAAAUACUGUAGUCUCACUACUUGACGUAUCGUUCGACCGCCAGGUUUGUUUCAUUAGGACGCCCUCUCGGGUUUUCAUCCUAAUCUUUUUGUACUAAUCAAGACACCCUUUUCGGGUUUUCGCCCCUUUUUUUUUUUAAGAUGCCAUUUUCGGGUUUUCAUCUUAAGCAUAAUAUUUCUUCACCGCAUCCGAAUUCAUCGGAUUCGGUAACUCCUUCCCAUCCAUCUCGGUAAGGAUUAAAGCUCCUCCUGAGAAUGCCUUUUUUACAACGUAUGGUCCUUCCCAAUUUGGUGCCCAUUUUCCUCACAGGUCUUUUUGUAUUGGGAGAAUCUUUCUCAGAACGAGUUCUCCUUCAUGGAACUCUCUCGGUCGUACCUUCUUGUCAUGGGCUGCGAUCAUUCUCUUUUGGUACAUUUGCCCAUGACAAAUUGCCCUUAGACGUUUUUCUUCAAUGAGGUUCAACUGAUCAUAUCGAGCUCGAACCCAUUCUGCUUCUUCUAACUUUGAUUCCAUCAAUACUCGCAGAGAGGGGAUCUCAACCUCGAUAGGUAGCACAGCUUCCAUUCCAUAGACUAGAGAGAAAGGAGUUGCUCCCGUAGAUGUUCGCACAGAUGUGCGAUAUGCAAACAAAGCAAAUGGAAGUUUCUCGUGCCAAUCUUUAUAUGUCUCAGUCAUUUUCCCAAUGAUCCUCUUAAUGUUCUUGUUAGCUGCUUCAACAGCCCCGUUCAUCUUUGGGCGAUAGGGCAAGGAAUUAUGAUGCUUUAUUUGGAACUGCUCGCACACUUCUUUCAUCAUCUUAUUGUUCAAAUUCGUGGCAUUAUCUGAGAUGAUUCUUUCAGGCAAACCAUAUCGGCAAAUGAUUUCCUUUUUCAAAAACUUGCACACUGCAGUCUUCGUCACAUUGGCAAACGAAGCGGCUUCAAUCCAUUUUGUGAAGUAAUCGAUAACCACAAAAAUGAAUCGAUGUCCAUUUGAAGCUUUUGGAGAAAUUGGCCCUAUGACAUCCAUGCCCCACAUAGAAAAAGGCCACGGAGAAGUCAUGACAUGAAGGGGUGAAGGGGCUACAUGAAUUUUAUCGCCGUAGAUUUGACGUUUGUGGCAUUUUCUGGCAAAAUUGAUGCAGUCACUUUCCAUUGUCAGCCAAUAAUAACCGAGUCUCAUGAUCUUUCUGGCCAUAUUGAAACCAUUGGCAUGCGUUCCGCAAAUUCCCUCAUGGACCUCUUCAAGUAUUUUUCUGGUUUCAACAUCAUCCACACAUCUCAAAAGCAUCUGAUCCUUUCCUCUUUUAUACAGGAUAUCCCCAUCAAGAACAAAUCCCGCUACCAUUCUUCUAAUUGUUCUUUUAUCGUUCUCAUUCGCUUGUUCGGGAUACCUUUGAUUCUUGAUAUAUUCUAAGAUAUCAUGGAACCAAGGCCGUCUGUCUACUUCUUUCUCAAUGUUACAACAGUGUGCAGGGACCUCGUAUAUGCUCAUUUUGAGGGGCAUUAUUUCUGCUUCUCUACUUGCUUUGAACAUUGAAGCCAAAGUGGCUAGGGCAUCAGCCAGUUGGUUCUCUUCUCGUGAGAAGUAAUGAAAAGUUAUUUCUUUGAAUUCCUUGAUCAAUCCAGCCACUAAAUCGCUGUACUUAAUUAAUUUUGAGUCCCUCACUUCCCAUUCUCCACGGAUUUGGUAAAUCACUAGGGCUGAGUCCCCGUACACCUCCAAGAUCUCGAUGUUUCGUUCGAUAGCUGCACGAAGCCCCAUGAUACAGGCCUCAUAUUCUGCGAUAUUAUUGGUACAGAAGAAGUUCAGUCUUGCAGUGAACGGAUAAUGAUUCCCGUCUGGUGAUACCAGGAUUGCUCCAAUUCCAUGCCCUAAAGCAUUUGACGCACCAUCAAAGCACAUCUUCCAUGACUUCUCUUUUGAUGACUCGGAUUCUAUUUCUGUGAUGCACAUUAAGUCUUCGUCUGGGAAAUCGAAUCUUAAAGGCUCAUAUUCCUCUGUCGUUCGAGUUGCUAAGAAGUCAGCUAUUGCGCUCCCUUUUAUUGACUUCUGACUUACAUAGGCAAUGUCAUAUUCCGAAAGGAGGAGCUGCCAUCGUGCCAUUCUUCCUAAUAGUGCCGGCGAUUCCAUCAUGUAUUUUAUUGGGUCCAGCUUUAAAAUUAGCCAUGUCGUGUGAUACAACAUAUAUUGUCUGAGUCUCUGAGCUACCCAAACCAGAGUGCAACAAUAUUUCUCAAUGGACGAAUAUUUUGCCUCAUAUUCAAUGAACUUUUUGCUGAGGUAGUAGAUCGCCUUUUCUUUCUUUCCUGACUCGUCAUGUUGUCCCAGUACGCCACCCAUUGAACUUUCGAACACUGUCAGAUACAAAAUUAAUGGUCUUCACGGAGUUGGCGGUACUAGCACUGGAGAACUGGACAAAUAUUGUUUUAUCUUAUCAAAGGUCACUUAGCAUUCCUCAUUCCAUUCUCCCGGGUUAUGUUUUCGAAGAAGCCGAAAGUUUGGGUCGCAUUGGUUGGUAAGUUGAGCGAUAAAUCAGGCGAUGUAAUUUAAUCUCCCUAAAAAUCCUUUAACUUCCUUUUGCGUGCGCGGAGGUGGUAAUUCUUGGAUGGCUUUUAUUUUAUCUGGAUCAACUUCGAUACCUCUUUCACUGACAAUGAAGCCUAGCAACUUUCCCGAGGUAGCCCCGAAUGUACAUUUGGCUGGAUUAAGCUUUAGCUGAAAUUUUCUCAGCCUUUCGAACAACUUCUUGAGGUUCAUUACAUGCUCUUCUUCUCCUCGAGAUUUAGAAAUCAUAUCAUCGACGUAGACCUCUAGUUCUUUAUGCAUCAUGUCAUGGAAUAACGUCACCAUAGCCCUCUGAUAUGUUGCCCCAGCAUUCUUUAACCCGAAUGGCAUCACCUUGUAGCAGAACGUUCCCCACAUUGUUAUGAAGGUAGUUUUCUCCAUAUCCUCAGGGGCCAUCUUGAUCUGAUUAUACCCCGAGAAUCCAUCCAUGAAAGAAAACAAUGAAUGUUUUGCUGUGUUGUCCACCAACGUGUCAAUAUGUGGCAAGGGAAAAUUAUCUUUUGGGCUUGCUCGAUUCAGGUCACGAUAAUCCACGCACAUUCGUACUUUUCCAUCUUUCUUUGGUACCGGGACUAUGUUAGCCACCCAUUUUGGAUAUUUGGAGGCUUGUAGGAAGCCAGCGUCAAAUUGUUUCUUGACUUCCUCUUUUAUUUUCAACAGCAUUUCGGGCCUCAUCCGUCUUAAUUUUUGCUGGAUGGGCUUGCAUUCUGGCUUUAAUGGGAGCUUAUGGACCACUAAAUCUUCAUCUAGCCCUGGCAUGUCCUGGUAUGACCACGCGAAAACAUCUUUGUAUUCGCGGAGUAAAGUGAUCAAACUAUGCCUGGUACUUUCUGAAAUAGAAGUCUCAAUCUUCACUUCUUGUUUCCUCUCUUCAGUGCCCAAAUUUAUUGUUUCCACAGAUUCUUCAUGAGGCAGAACCUGUUUAUCCUCUUGUUCCACCAUUCUUAACAAUUCAGGAGACGAGACAUAAUCUUCAGCAUUUUCUUCAGCUUCAAAUUCUCCUAAGCAAACAGCCUUCUCAAAAUCAAUUUCAAGAUUCGUAACGGGCUUAUUCAUGUCGUCAAUAUCUGAGCACCUGAAAGUUGAAUGGAAAAGGAAGCUAUCGGGGGACAUCCAAGUAUUGGAAACAACAAACAAAAUGUUAUGUCAUGGCAAUGAGGCAAAUGUAAGGAUAGGCUAUGAAAUGAGAAAAUGAUUAUGAAAUUAGUGAUAAUGCGAAAAAUCGUGACAAAAUGCAUCUUCAUUGAUAUUCACUUAAAUGAUAAAGAGCGAAUGCAAGCUCCUACAAAAGAAUUCCAUUAUAUCUAAGGAUACAAUAGAAGGUUGAUGUUUAGCAUUACUCUGAAGGCUUAUAAACUACAAGAAGCUCCUCAGCAAUCCAAUUGUUCAACAUGAAACCAGGGGGACAAUGGCGUAUCCUUGAGACGUCUUUACUCACAUCAGCGCCUUUGUCAAUAACAUUUAUACUGACAUUUUGAAGACCCUUUUCAAUUAACCAUAGCGUGUUUCGUGGACCAUCUUGUCCAGGGUACAUCAUUCCCGCAGAUGUAAAUGUUUUUGACAAAAGAGGGUACUCUAUUGGUUCCCAUUCUGGUUCUCGGCCCAAAGUUCUUGCAAUCCUUCUUUCCUGAUCUUUUUUCCACUGUCUUCUUCUUUGACACAUGUCAGGAUGGAACCCCAAACCGUAUCGGGCCCUGUGGUGCACUGGCUUUAAAGCCCUGACUAUUCCUUGUAGAUAUCUCCCUAAACCUCUUCUCGCUCGAGCUCCCCUUUCUACGGUCAAUUUGACACCCAUUCUAGUAUUUCUCGACAAUUUAGGCACGGGAAUUUUGUUUCCCUCAGUGAAGAAUGUGGCAUUGACGAAUUCAAGGGAUCAGAAAGAGCAUUCCACUACGUCCUUGCUCACUUCAAGGUAUGGCGCAUCAGCAGAGAUAGAUGCGACAAUGUCUUCUUCUCCCUCGAUAGUGACCAAACAGCCAUCCAUGAUAAAUUUCACCUUUUGAUGGAGGGAUGAUGGGACCGCUCCAGCAGAAUGGAUCCAGGGUCUUCCCAAAAGGCAGUUAUAUGAGGAUGUAAUGUCCAUGACUUGGAACUCGACAUCAUAUAUGUAGGGACCCACUUCUAGAGGGAUCUCAAUUUUUUUCAUGACUUCACGCAUUGUUCUGUCGAAUGCCCUUACCGUAAAAUGACAGGGCCUUAAAUGGGACAGAUCCAUCGAAAUUCUGGAAAGCGUGGCUAAAGGCAUAACGUUGAGUGCCGAACCAUUAUCGAUGAACACGUUCGGUAUUAUGUAGCCCUUGCAACUGGUUGUGAUAUGCAAUGCUUUCACUGAGCCUCUACCAUUGGGCGGUAUUUCAUCAUCACUAAAAGAAAUGAAAUUAUCCGCAUUCAAGUUGUUCAUCCACCUAUCCAGUUUUUCAACGGAUACAUUGUUUGCCACAUAAGCUUGAUUUAACACUUUCAGCAGAGCGUUUCGGUGUGGUUCUGAAUUUAACAGCAGAGAUAAUACCGAGAUUCGCGCUGGCUGCUUACUCAAUUGUUCUACCACGUUGUACUCACUGUGCUUGAUAAAUUUUAAGAAUUCCUGUGCUUCCUCCUCGUCCACAGGAUUUUUAGCUUCUUGUUCAGGCGUAGUUUCAUACUCAUCAUCGGUCACAUGCAUCGGUGCUUUUCCUUUCUGUUUCAAGUCACUGUUCUUCUUUAUCUCCUUCGAAUAACAUCUUCCACUACGAGUGAAAUGACCUAAUUCCCCGACGCUUCCAGUCAUGGCUUUGGGUUUUUCAUCUUCAGGUGUGACGAUAUUAACGUCAUAUUUCCAUGGUACUGCUUUAUUGUCCUUGUAAGGGAAAGAAUAUGGUACUUCGAUUAUCAUUUUUGGUUUCACCGGCUCUUUCGUCGCAUCGUAAUAAAUUACUAACGGUUGAUCAGCGCUAUAAGGGGGACCUGAUGACUGGCUAUCAGAGGCGCAUACUUCUCUUUCAUUGGUCUCUUCCCUUUUGUUAAGGAUCUUAAUCUCCUUAUUAUCCAUCCGGUCUUGAAGCAACCUUUUAAAUUCCUCACACGACUGAAUGUCGUGUCCCACAAUUCCAUGGAAAUUGCAAAAACUUUGACCUUCUUCUCCGAGAAUUCUAUCGGGGUGACAAAGCAAUCCUUUCUUAACCAGUACCUCCCAGAUUUUCUGCAGAGGCGUCCUUAUUUCCGAAACACAUCUUCUGACUUUCCAUUCGUCCACUUUCCCCACUAUGCUCACAUCCCUUUCGAUAUGGUUAGGGAAUGGGUUCCCAGUUGCAUUACUGGCACUAUCGAAUCGUAGGAUACCUGCAUCAAUGAGUCCUUGAACUCUUCUCUUAAAGGCUAGGCAGUUUUUCGUGGAAUGUCCCUGGUUUCCCGUAUGGUAUGCACAACUAGCGAAUUGUAUGUUUUAACCUCAGUGAAUGAGUAUGGAAUAUGCAAUGAAUGAAUGAAUGCAUGAAUGUCAAAUGACUGUUAGUCAUGAAAGAAAUGCAAGAAAUUGGUGUUAAUUUCAAGAUAGCCCCUAUUUAGGCAUUUCCUUAAUCAAAAGAGUCUAUUACACAACGUUUCAGUCACUCGUGUAAUUGACUCCUCUAUCAGAAACCCCUUUUUGGCAACCAAUCUCUAAUCAACCCUUUCCUAACAAGAUGUCUGUGAUGCAUGAUAAAAAAUAGAAAUGCAGACAAACAACAUUGGUUAGCAAAACACAUAUGAUCAGAGAAAAAUUGUGGAAAAUCUAACAAAUUAAGCUACUUGGUCUAAUGGACUCGAUUCCCUUGCAUAGAAAGCGAAAGUGCAAAAGGUAAGAGGCAUUCUUCCCGUGCACUUAUUUUGGUGACUACUAAACGGACGGAGGUUCAGCAUGGCUCUAGUUGGAUGGCUCGUAUGGUUAACUAUAUGCGGUUUUGGUUCUAGAUGGGUACUCGAAUCAUCUGUACUGUCAUCUACUAAGAUUAGUACAGUGCCUCGGUCAUGGCCCAUCAUAGGCUUACGAGAUCAAUUCGAGGGAUUACAUUUACUUAUGCCUAUGCGGAGGGACAAGUUAACUCACGAAAGCAUAAGUCAUAUGUAACCCGAAAGUAUUCACUAGCCUGUGCGGAGGGACGAGUUAACUCACGAAGGCGUAGCGUUUACUUUCACUUAAACGGACAGAGCCCGGGUAUAGAGCUCAUGUUAUGCAAAGAUGUAUGUGCACGGUGUGUGGGGAGAAACUCACAAACCUUUACGUUUUAUUUAAAAACUAAACCAAAACUAAAAUCACAAAAAUUUAAAGCUGAAAAACAACCGAAUAAAAUAAGUUAGAAUAUAUACAACACGAUGCAAAUGCAUGAUUUUUUGAAAACAAAAAAUUUGAGGAUCACGACUAAAUGUUAAUUUGAACAAGGAACUUUAAAAAUUUUGACAACGCGAGUUUCAUUCCAGACACGACUCUCAAAAAGGGUCCCCAGCGGAGUCGCCAGCUGUAGCGACCUAAAAAUUUCGGCACGGGCGCUAGUCGAAGUAAUUAUUGAAAAUUUGAAAACUGAAUCUCGAUUUUAUUUGAAAAAGGAGUCGCCACCGAUCUUUUUUUUUCUAGGUGUGAUCGGACACCUAAUAAAUUCUCUUUUUAGAAGAAAAUUUUAUUUUUAAACUUUCUAAAAAAGAGGUAAUUUUAGGUCUACGUAAGAAUCCAGAGAAAAUUCGAGUUCGGGAGUCGGUUACGCGCGAGGAAGGUAUUAGCACCCUCGCGACGCCUAAAAUUGGUAUCUUGUUAAACGCGCGUUGUCUUCAUUUUCAAAAAUACGAGUUCAAUUUAAUAUUAGUCGUGAUCCGAUUGAAACACGAUAAUUUUAAAGCACAACAACUUUUUCCUUUUUUUUAAACACAAAUUUGUUAAAAUACAAGAAUUUUAGAAACACAAAUUUUUAAAAAAACACGAAAAUUUUGAAACACGAGAUUUCUUUGAAACACGAAAAUUUAUGAAACACGGUCAAUUUCUUAAAACGCGAAAGUUUUUGGAAAACGGGAAUUUUUUUUGAAACACGAAAAAUUUUGAAACACUGGAAUUUUGAAAACACGAGGAUUUUUUAAAUACGAAAAAUUUGAAAACAAGAAAAUUUUUGAAAUACGAAAAUUUUAGAAACACGAAAAUUUUUGAAACACAGAAGUUUUUAGAAAACACGAAAAAUUUUGAAAAUUGGAAUUUUUUUGAAAACACGAGAAUUUUUGAAAAACAUGAAAAUUUUUGCAACAUGGGAAUUUUUGAAAACACGAAAAAUUUUCCGAUUUUUAUUAAGCACGUAUCGUAUUUAACACUAAUUGAUGAUAUUCACUCAACAUAGCAAUGAAAUAAACGAAUUAGUGUCAAAUCGAUUUGUUACCUUAUUUUUGAAAAACACGAGAAAUGUUUUUUGAAGACACAAAAAUUUCGAAACCCGAGGAUUUUUUUUGAAAAUACAAUUUUUUUGAAUAUUUUUUUAAUUUUUAAAAGGGCGUAUCGAGUUUAGCGCAAACCGGUGAUAUUCACCCAACAUAGCGAUGAAAUCAACGAUUUUAUGUUAAAUCGAUUCGUUGCCUUAUUUAUCAAAAUUAUUUAAAAUAAAAUAAAAUAAAAAUUAAAUUAAAUUAAAAAUAAAUAUAAAAAUGCAUAAAAUGCUAAUAAUAUUAAAACGAAAUAACAUAAAAUACGAGCAUUAAAUUAAAAAUAAAAUAAACGAAAUUACCGAAAUGCUACCGAAACACGAGCUUCGUCGAACGGGUUACACGAAUUGAACCUCUUUUUUCUUUUUUUUCUUUCUUUUUUCCUUCUCUUUUUCUUCUUUUUCUUUUCUUUUUUUUCUCUGCUGGGCCAACCCGUUGGACCUGCUUCUGCUGGGCUGGUGCGUGCGGGCCUGGCCUGUUGGUGCUGGCCUGCUAGGCUGCACUGGGCCUGGGCUUGGGCUGCUGCUGGUCUGCUAAGAAAUGGCCUGCUCUUCUUUUUUUUCUUGGGCUUGUUUCUUUUUCUUUUUGUUUUUGUUUUUGUUGUUUUUUUCUUGGGCUGCUGGGUCGGGUCGGGUCGUCAGUCGGGUCGACCGGUUCGGGUCGGGUCAACCUGAUUUAAAAAAAGGAUUUUUCUUUUUUUUUCUUUCUUCUUCCUCUUUUCUUCUUCCUUCUUCUUCCUUUUUCUUCUUCAAAGUCUAGCCUCCACCGUUGCUUGCUCCGCCGUCGACUGCUGCCGUCGACGCCACGGUGCCGCCGCCGACUCCUCCUUCUUCUCCUUCCUCUUUUCUUUCUCUCUUCUUUUCUUUUUUUCGAAGCUUUUUCUCUCUCUUUUUGCAAGUUUUUUUGAUUUUUUUUGUGGGUGUGGGGGAUUAAUUUUGGGGUUUUAAACCCAUUUUAUAGUUGAUAUUUGCUUCCUUUUUGCAGGUGGUAGGUGAAGAAGGAGCAGCCACCCAUGUUUGUGGCCUGAAAAUCUGGGAAGUGGGUGCCCCAAAUCACGUAACCUGUCUGAAGGACCAAAUCACAAAUGUAGCAAAACUUCUGGGGCUAAAUGUAAUUUUUAGAAAAUUUAGGAUUAAAAUGAAAUUUAAUGGAAGUUUAGGGGUCUAAGUGAAAUUUAAAGAAAGUUUAAGGGUCAAAAUGAAAUUUAGGAAAAGUUUAAGGGUCAAAAUGCAAUUUUUAUUUUUAAAUUUUUUUUUUUUUGAAAUUUUGAAAAUUAAACACAAAUUCUAGUCGGACAAAAAUUUAGUGCUUACAAACAACAGAGGGCAGCAAAAGAAACAAACAAAAACAACAAAGAGAAUAGAAGUAGAAGGUCGAUUAAUCGGCUUUAAAAAGCCAAGACACACCUUUGUAAUUCUUUUUACAGACACUUACGAACGAGAUUAAUCAGAAAAUAGAAAAUUUUCUAAAGGUGAUUUAUUGUUUGCAUUUCAGUUUCUAAUUUUUGUAUUUUUUUCUUUUUUUUACAUACAAAAAUAAUAAUGAAAGAACAAAAUAGUAAAUAAAAACGCACCUUCGAUUCACUGUUUGGGUGCACUCUGGUGUCCUCUUGCCAAUCUGAGGGUUACCGAACCCCUGGGGGUUCGACCAUUGGUCGUGGCAGAGAAUGAAGAGCCGAAGGGUCCUUCCUUUUUUCUUGCGGUGUUGUAGGUCACGAGGGCUCCGUCUUCGAACUUAUUCAAAAAGAGGGUUGAAAGGGGCUCGGUUCGCGUAUCAUCGGUCGCCGUUCGCGGCAUGGGUGCGGAGGACCCCGAUAAACCCAUGGUCGGCCAUGGAGGAGGGAGAGGGAGAGAGAGCAAAGGCUCUCUGUUUUUUUUU